rnacentral:rRNA from 1 species
CCUACGGGAGGCAGCAGUGAGGAAUAUUGCUCAAUGGGGGAAACCCUGAAGCAGCAACGCCGCGUGGAGGAUGAAGGUUUUCGGAUUGUAAACUCCUUUUGUUAGGGAAGAUAAUGACGGUAUCUAACGAAUAAGCACCGGCUAACUCCGUGCCAGCAGCCGCGGUAAUGCGGAGGGUGCAAGCGUUCCUCGGAAUCACUGGGCGGAAAGGGCGCGUAGGCGGGAGAGCAAGUCAGAUGUGAAAUCCUAUGGCUUAACCAUAGAACUGCAUUUGAAACUGUUAUGCUAGAGUAUGGGAGAGGUAGGCGGAAUUCUUGGUGUAGGGGUAAAAUGCGUAGAGAUCAAGAGGAAUACCAAUUGCGAAGGCAGCAUACCGGCGCUCAACUGACGUUCAGGCACGAAAGUGUGGGGAUCGAACAGGAUUAGAUACCCCUGUAGUC